rnacentral:lncRNA from 1 species
AGUAAGAGUGGCAGCAGAUGACCCUGAAUACAUGGCCAUCCGGUUACGAAGCUUAUUCAUAUGUGAAAGGUGCAACAAGGACGCCUUUCUCCACUGCAGGAUGCUGAAGUAAGUGUUGAUAAAAACAUCACACAUAAAAGAGAGCUUAAAUGAAAACAGAGACAAGAGGAUGCUGAACAGAGAAAAGAAGCUGGAUCAGGGAUCUGAUGGCUGACCAUGAACAGCUGUGCACAGUGGCCACAGCAAACACCUGUUCAGGAUCCAGGAGGAAUCCUUCACCACCAGCCUAAGGAGAAUGUUGGUGACAGCCGCCAAAACGCCUUGAUCACGCACUCCCAGCACCCUGCCCUGCCAGCAGCCAGAGGAAAGUCCAGUUUAUGUUAAUAAGGUGAAGAGAGUGGAGAAAAUAUUUUGUGAAUUUUCUGGCUCAAAAGGGUAAUGAAGCUACCUCUGUCUCCGUGCACUGGCACAGGAGCAAACUAAACAACUGGGAAACGUGUUUCAGAGGAGAAAUACAGAGCACAAACUCCCUGGAUUUCACACUUCACUUCCACUGGCUUGCCUCUUUCUACCUCUUUUCCAGGCUGGCUGAACCCUUUUGCACAAAAAGUGGGAGGGGUG